GAGUGCCCUGGAGAGUUUGUAUUUUCCCCUCAAGGUUGGUGAGAACUCGGCUUCCCUCAGCAAAUUUAAAUACUAUGGAAUGAAAGGGGUUAAAACAUUCACCAGAAAUGGGGUUUGUCUGCAGAUAUCUCCAGCUUCUUUAUUUAAAGCCUUUUGGGUGUGGUGGAUGUGGUUACUGCCUGUGGAAAAGGUCCUGAUCCCCUUUAGAGAAUGACAUGGUCACUGAAUCUACUUUUGCUUGAUUCUCAUCAGAGAAGGAAUUUUCAGUUCAUCUCUCUUGCAAACUGGGUGGAGUUGGUGAAGAAAAAAUUAUGGUAAGAUCUAUUUCUAAUUUUGCUGCUGAAAGAACCCUGCUGCUCAUCUCUUGUGUACUCCUAGAUAUCUGCAUCUAGGUACGGUAAUGGGUCAGCCACGUUCCUUAAUGGAAACAGAACAGGCAAAUGGUUUCAGCCAGAAAUAUGCAAGAGACAUCCUUCUUAAAACACACUGUUAAAGAGUGUUGCCUAAAACAUGAAAGCAACUCAGCUGACUCUGGAUUUCGAUGAAUAUGUGGAAUGAAAAGAACCCAGAAGAAAAGAUCCAGUGCUUGGAGGCUAAAGUCUAUGUGAUUCCUUUGGGACAUUGAAGGAGUCCUCAGACUUUUAAGCUCAUACACAGUUGUGUUGAAAAAUUAAGGAGAGGUGUCACCACAGGGAAGUUGCGGCCACCUCAGUGUGGGACAUCAGCCCCUGGCUGCCAAGAGGUCAAAUGGCAUCCUGGGUUGCAAGAAUCACAGCAGCAGCA